rnacentral:tRNA from 1 species
AUAGGUAUAGCUCAGUGGUAGAGUGCAUGCUUAGGAUGCACAGUCCUGGGUUCAAUCCCCAGUACCUGUA